rnacentral:rRNA from 1 species
CAAAGAUUAAGCCAUGCAAGUGUCAGUUCAUGCCGAAAAUAAGGUGAAACCGCGAAUGGCUCAUUAAAUCAGUUAUAAUUUACAUGGUGGCAUUACUUUUACAGUUACUUGGAUAACUGUGGCAAUUCUAGAGCUAAUACAUGCACACGAGUCCCGACCGUUCGCGCGGAAGGGAUGCUUUUAUUAGAUCAAAAUCAAUCGGGAAAUUGUACGUAUGUCUCGUGGUAUAUACCACGAUCAUAUUACAAUUAUACCCCGUGAAGUCUUGGUGACUCUGGAUAAAUUUUGGCUGAUCGCAAGGUCUUUUAGCACCUGCGACGCAUCAUUCAAAUGUCUGACUUAUCAACUAUCGACGGUAUGCCACGUGCCUACCGUGGUGGUCACGGGUGACGGGGAAUCAGGGUUCGAUUCCGGAGAGGGAGCCUGAGAAACAGCUACCACAUCCAAGGAAGGCAGCAGGCGCGCAAAUUACCCACUCCCGGCACGGGGAGGUAGUGACGAAAAAUAACGAUGCAGGACUCUAUAACGAGGCUCUGCAAUCGGAAUGAGAAAACUCUAAAUCAUUUACCGAGUAUCCAUUGGAGGGCAAGUCUGG